CGCCCCUGCCUUUCAGGCAUCCUCUCCUAAAAACUCAGCUGGCCGGUCCUUCGGGACCGGCCUUUUUUUGUUAGCGG
rnacentral:sRNA from 1 species